rnacentral:rRNA from 1 species
CCCUUAGAUGUUCUGGGCCGCCCGCGCGCUACACUGUUCGACGCAGCGAGUCUUAACCUUGACCGAAAGGUUUGGGUAAUCUUCAGCAAAGUCGAACGUGAUGGGGAUCGAUCAUUGCAAUUAUUGAUCGUGAACGAGGAAUUCCUAGUAAGUGCAAGUCAUCAGCUUGCGCUGAUUACGUCCCUGCCCUUUGUACACACCGCCCGUCGCUACUACCGAUUGAAUGGUUUAGUGAGAUCUCUGGAUUGACGCUGGCUAGGGGGCGACCCUUGGCCAGACUGUUGAGAAACUGCUCAAACUUGAUCAUUUAGAGGAAGUAAAAGUCGUAACA